rnacentral:tRNA from 1 species
GCCGCGGUGGUGUAGCUGGUAGCACUCCGGGCUGUGGACCCUGCGGCAGUGACCCGGCGGUCGUGGGUUCGAUUCCCACCCGCGGCCC